GGUAAUAAAACAUGUAAACUUUUUAUUCUUUUUUUUUUGUAUCAGGGAUCGAACUCGGGACCUUGCGCUUGUGAGGCAGGUGGUGGAACCACUGAGCUGAAUUCCCGGACCCCAUCUUGCCCUUUUUAACAAUCACCUUUCAGAGGAGGCAGAGAUAGCGUUAAGUGUUUACUAUGUAAAAGGUUUUCACAUUCCUUUUCGCCGGCACACGAAGGGCCACGUGACUGGACCCAGGGAACCUCGGCAGAAAGGACAGGAACCAGACCUUACAGGAUUCUCCCAGCCCGAGCCUGGGAAGGAAGCUGCAGAAACACCAGGUCACCUGUCGGCGGUGAGCUGCCCGAGUGUCACCUGAGCUACAGAACAGGGUCCAGACUUAGUUUUGCUGUUGAAACGUUUCACGCCUGAGUGUUUCACAAGCAGUUUUCCAGUAAUGUGUCUCCCAUCCAAUUGAAGGGUCUUCGUUCGCUGUAGCAGGUGGCUUCGUGAAACUCAAGGUUUGAAAAAAGCAAAUAAAGCUUCGCUCUUUGUUUGACCAGGACGCAGAUGAGGGAGAGAGAACUGGAUUCAUUUCACUUCCACCGCGAGGGAGGUCGGGCUCCCAUUUUCCGGGAAUCCUUAGCUGUCCUGGGGCCGCGCGAGCUUCUUUCAGAAUUCGGAAAACAAACU